rnacentral:misc_RNA from 1 species
UAAAUGCGAUAAGUCAUGUGAAUUGUAGGCUCAUGCGAAUCAUCGAAACUUUGAACGCAAAUUGUACUGUACAGUGUAAAAGCUUUACGGUGUCUCUGUUCGAGCGCAAAAUAACAAAAUCGAUCUUUCUAUCUUGAUGAUUUGAAAGUUCUUCUUGAGGUCCCAUUGAUUGUAAUGAUUAGUGGUUCCUUUAAACAGAAUACAAACCAGUCAUUCAUUUCUAAAUGAAUUUGUAAGAUGCAAAAUACCAUGCGUAUUUAACAAAUUGCAAUUUUCAUCUUUAGAAUUUGAACAAUACCGUCGUAGAACCAAAAACUUUGCAUCGAAUCAGGGAAGGUUACCCCCUGAAUUUAA